CUCAAGCAGUGAUGAUCAUGACUUCAUGUCGCACUCCUGAACAGUCUAUGUGGGUCUUAAGUCACUACCUCUUCUGAGCUUGAA